GAGAGCUGAUCACCGCUGCUUGUGAGCUGGGGGUGGCUCACCCCCCGGGCUACCCACUACCCAGUCUUCACCCUGCUGGCCCACCUGGCUCUGUCCCUGCUGCCCUGCCUCUCCAUGUCUCUGGCCCACAGUGUCAACCUACUGAGCAGCCUGCCGGGGCCAGCCGGGCCCUCUGCUUCACUGUCUGCAGGUAGGACUACAACUUAACGCCAAGGUCAGGAGUUCUUCUGAUCAGGCCACCUAGUCAGUGAAAACUCCUGGUCCUUCUCAUCUACUCAUUAUAGUCAACAUGAUUAGUCUGCUGCAUCCAAUAGUGCUGAAACUCUGCAGUUACACGUCUGUUAAUGGACCGCCGCGACAACAGUAGGCUUGAAUGUUACAUUCAAAUCUCCU
rnacentral:lncRNA from 1 species